AGUAUAGCAAAUCAAUUUUUAUUUCAAUUAAAAUAAUUUAUAAUCAUAAUUUUAAGUAAAAAUUGUUGAGAUUGACAAUUCUCAUUGUUGUUUUAUAAGUUUUUAAUAUGUUCAUGAUUUCAACUGUCUCUAAAUCAACUUAGACAGCAUCUAUUGAUAGACGGCUCUUUGUGAUCAUGUUUUCAACAUUUCCUUCUUGUCACGAUUUGGCUAGAUUCUGCAACAAAUUGUAUAUUUUUGGAAAUGUUUCAUGAGCAGUUCUGAGGGAUUCCUGCAUUUCUCGUUGACCGUGAUAACUUGAUUUUCUGUUAUGGACACACCAGAAGAGCUAGUCGGUUGCCUGUUUUACUGAAUGAAUGAGUUUUCUCGAUAAACACUUUCUUUUGGUCGUAAAUUUUCACUUACCGAUCGGCCUUGGAUCCACUCAAUUUUUUACUCUCACCGAGUGUAGGAGUGAUUAAUUUAAAGAAACAAUUAGAUAAUAUAAACAUCAACGGCUGAUAUUAUGGAAGAAGUUUCAAUUUCACUUUGGUGUGCUUUUGUCCUAAUCACUCCUACACUUUACAGUAUCUUUAAAGAAUAUCAUGUUUCAGUAAUAUUUAUUUUAAAGCUUAUAAAUGCUGCAUUUGUUUAUCCUUGGUCUUUGACAACCUGACAAGCUGAGGUGAAAUGUUUUGCAAAUGGAUAACUCUUUGAAACUUCACUUCAAAUGGAUGCUAAAAACCGUCUAUCAUCAAACGAAUACAAAAGACAGAUGUGUAAAAGCAAGUAAAAGUGGGUCAUAAUAAUCUUAAUGGAGCAAUUAUAUUACAAGGAUCACCAAAGGAUAAGCGACCAAACUUGAUUAUAAAUAUAAAACAAAAUAAGUAAUAAGUCAAAUGGUUGAGUUCAGCGAUGAAAUAAGCAAUUUUAUGGCAAUUUAAUCAUUUAUCACGAUGCAAAAAUAUGGUUUAUCUCCCACUAAUCAAUUUAAGUUUAACCAGAAUGUAACCUUUUGGCUGUAUCGUAUCUCGGUCCGUGUCUAUGAAAUCUGGAGGCAAUUUUGCAGCAUUUAUGGAACAUGUUGCUUCGAGAUUCAAUACAAUAUUCAAAUCGUCUCAUGGUUUCGG